rnacentral:tRNA from 1 species
UAGAAAGUAGCUAAAUUUUAGUAUGGUGUUUGUAGUUUGGAACCAAGAGGUCAUGGGUUUAAAUCCUGCCUUUCUGACCA